CGGUCAGCCGCGCAGCCAAUCAGAUGUCAAAGCCGCUGACGUCACAGACGAAACAAACAGGUGCUGUGUGGGAGUCAUUGGAGAGAGAUCGCCAUUCACAACUUCCUCAAGGCAGCAACAGCGCUGCACGCACAGCGUCAGUCAAGAUAAAGCUACUUUUCCGAACCGAGUGAAAGAAUUAAAAGAGCGAGUAAAGUGACACACAUCAGUUUCCGAGCCAAAGCGCAGCAGAAACGCUUGCUGGAGCGACUGUUUUAAAGCUUCAGUGAGCCGUUCAUUAAUUCAUUUUCGUUUCAACCAAAACAACCAAUUAAAAAAAAAAUACCUGUGAGGUUUUGACAAACAUGAAUGUGGAUUUCUUGUGGCGCGGCACCGUUAAAGGUGCUCGUUAGACUCCAAGCGUCCCCUUUAUUUUCUGGCCUAGCAACAAGCAGCGACCUCACGCCCGCCAUUUGGAGUGCUGCAAACUACACUCACAUUUCGAGAAGGGUUUGGAUGCUGCCUGUUAGCUGCUAGCUAAUGUAAACAACAUGACAGGCUAACGGCGAAGCACAUGCAGCUAGCUGUUAGCGAUCCGGGCUAGUAGCUGCUGCCGACACGGUCUGCCAGCGGGGAGCGUCAACUCUCACUGCUGUGGAGCUCUACGAUCAAGUCCGGAUACCAGCGAUUGAUGUGGAAAUACAUGUCGAUUGACUGCAUAUUACACUUAAAGCAUCUGCUAAUUGCAGCUAACGUUAGCUUAGUGAAUGGAUCCAUCUGAACUCACCCCUCUCCUAAACAGUAGGCUGAAGUUCGCAGAUGAUGCUUUGAUAAUCCGAUACGUGCUCUGGACCACUAUUACCUUUUGGCUGGAAGAGAUACCGAAGCAGAUCAUGUGCAGAAAUCAAAUUAACAGAGACGUUGUUUUUUCUUUUCUUUUCUUUUAAAGAAAUCAUUCAAGCUGUAGAUUGCAAACUGAAAAUCUCCCCCGGAGAGGAAAACAAUCUCCGUGAGGGGCGUGGCUACUACAAAUAUUCCAGCCUAUGUCGCACGUCACUGGCCAGUUUAACCCAAAGGAUCUCCCGGAAGGGAGGAGCCAAGCGUCCGGAUUGUGAAGUGGCACCGUCAAUCAUGGAUUUAUCCUAUCUACUUUGCCACGCCCACUUGACUGAGAAGCGCGACAAUAGCAACGUCUAAAUAAAUGAAUGCUUAGAGGGAGUGUCAGAUUUUUAGUCCCAAAUAAAAUGACUCAGACAUUAAAAUUUUACUCAUUUA